GAGGGUAUAGCUCAGUGGGAAAGUGUGUGCUUACCAUGUACGAGGUCCUGGGAUCAAUCACCAGUACCUCCA
rnacentral:tRNA from 1 species